CUGUCUGACUGUCUGUGCAACCAACAUAAGAUUCAAAACUCAUUACCAGAUGGCGUCACUGUCGCCCUUGUUGUUUCUGCACCGUGAAAUGUGGAGAAAUGGGCGAAACAAAGUGUUGCUAUUUUAUACUUAUUUUUCUGUGAUUUCAAAUAUCAAGCUGAACUUCGCAUCUUAUAUGUAUGCUGUCAUUCCAACAAGUUGGUUUAGCGCUCAGUCACUGUUCAUCAUGAUCCUCAGGAUAUCAAAAGCCUAAAACCCAUGUUUGAAGCCCACACAUAGUGGAAUACAAAUGUUCCAAGAUAGGCACUCUUGCUCAUGAACCACAGGAUCCUUUUGGAAUCUUGCAAUUUUGGUGGUUUAACCUGCAGCAGCUGGUCUUUUGUUAUGGCUGUUUCUACUUCUGUUUAGAAGGCAACUCAGCCGAGGGAUAGAGUUUCAGUGACAUGAAGAGUUUGGAAUGAAUAACAUACCUGCCAUGUGUUAGUAAACAUACCAGUUCUUACACAUACCAGAUCUUACACAUACCAGAUCUGCUGGAUGAAAAUCAAAUUAUGCAUUACUAUAUUCAUCACUCAAAUUUUGUCGAAAUUUAUCUCAACAGGAGGAGUAAUGCUGUUGGUUG